GACGAACGCUGGCGGCGUGCUUAACACAUGCAAGUCGAACGGAAAGGCCUGGUUUCCGUUGGGUGCUCGAGUGGCGCACGGGUCGGACACAUGAGAGUCACCUGACUUUGCUUUUGGGAUAACUUCUGGAAACUGGGGCUACUACCGGUAAGGCGCUAUUGCUGUAUGGUGGGGGUCGGAAGGUUUGGGCCGUUGGGGUUGUAGUUGCGGCUUAGCUGGCUGCCGUUGGGGUUGUGGCUGAGCUAGUCUUUGACGGGUAGGCGGCCUGAUAGUGUGACCGGCCACAUGGGGACUGAGAUACGGCCAAGACGCCUACGGGAAGCAGCAGUGGGGAAUAUUACACAAUGGGCGGAAGCCUGAUGCAGCAACGCCGCGUGCGGGAUGGCGGCCUUCUGUUUGUAGACCGCUUUCGCCUGUGACGAAGCGUGGGUGACGGUAGUGGGUAAAGAAGCACCGGCUAACUACGUG
rnacentral:rRNA from 1 species